UUCUGGGACCAGAGCGAGCCCCGGCUGUUUGUAUGCGAAGCCGUGCAGGAGACGCCGCGCUCCCAGCCUCAGUCUGCAAACGGGCAGCCCCAAGAUGGGCGCGCUGGCCCUGCGGCAGAUGUUUUGAUCCUGUCCUUCUUCAUUUCCGAAGAGCACGGCUUCCUGCUUCAUGAGAGCUUCCCCCGGCCUGCCGCCUCCCACAGUCUCCUGGGGAUGGAAGUGCCUUAUUACUACUUCACAAGAAAGCCCGAAGAAGCAGACAGAGAAGACGAGGUGGAGCCUGGGUGCCACCACAUCCCUCAGAUGGUGUCCAGGAGACCCCUGCGAGACUUUGUGGGGCUGGAGGACUGCGACAAGGCCACCCGGGACGCCAUGCUCCACUUCAGCUUCUUUGUCACCAUAGGAGACAUGGACGAAGCCUUCAAAUCCAUCAAGCUCAUCAAAAGGUGAGGAUCCCGACCACUGGGAUGUCGGGAGAUAGCGCGUGCUCACGGCUCUUUCCUUUCUCCGUUUGCCUUCUUGGUUCGCCUGUUGAAAUAUUUGACUCCUCAUGACUGCGUCAUGGUGUAUUUCAUGGUCUUCCCACUCGAUGAAAUGCUGCCCAGCUUGCAGGUGCCACGUGGGAAGCUCUCAGCCUCUGUGGUGCUGGGAGCCUCUCGGGCUGUUUAGCUGCUUCCUAGUGGAAAGUUCUGCCGUUCCUAAACAUCUAUAAUACCCAUCCCUCUGGGAAUAAUUGCUCCUAAACAGAAGUUUGGACAAGUAAACACUAAAAACAACCAGGCGGAAACACAAUUAAAAAUGCUCUAAAAGAGGGUGUCAAUCAA
rnacentral:sRNA from 1 species